UCGGACUGUAGUCUGCAACCCGACUACACGAAGCUGGAAUCGCUAGUAAUCGCGAAUCAGAAUGUCGCGGUGAAUACGUUCCCGGGUCUUGUACACACCGCCCGUCACACCAUGGGAGUCGGAAAUGCCCGAAGUCUGUGACCCAACCUACGGGAGGGAGCAGCCGAAGGCAGGUCGGAUGACUGGGGUGAAGUCGUAACAAGGUAUC
rnacentral:rRNA from 1 species